rnacentral:lncRNA from 1 species
AGUUUGUAGAAAUGGCCGAUCCUAAUGACAACAUAGAUGAUGCAAUGAUAGACCUAAUCAACAGCGGUGCCAAUCUAAAUCCCCAAGGCGAAGAUGAUGAGAGUCAGUACUUUGCUGAUUAUGAAGAACUUGUGAGAGACAAUCUUGAUGAGGUCUAUCUACAAUCUAGUAUAUAUGUAUAUACAUGAAAUUAAAAUGAAUGACAUUUGUAUUAAUAUAUUUAGACUUGUUUGUGUAGCCCUCUGGAUUGGCGACAACUUCUGGGAAGAGUAGAAAAGUGUAAGGCCCGAAGAAGCCGUUGGAGGAUCGGUACAUUUUGACGGAAUUCGAUGAGGGUACAGGACAAGUACUUGGGGCAAAUUCUAAAAAAUUUGUUGCGCACUAUGGGUACCUUGUAAGGGACAGGAUCCCGGUCAGUGCUCGUGAAUGGAGGCAACGAAAAGAUGACCCUAAUAUUAGUUUUUUGUCUCAGAUCGUGACAAGAAAUUGAUUUGGCUAGAUAUCCUUCAACAUUUCACGCUCGAUACACAAGAUGAAGCUUUGAAGGAGAAGGUUAAAAUCUAGGCUAUGCAAAAGAUGGCCAAACAAUUUUAGGCUUUGAAGAAGAAACUGUACAAGACUUUUGUUGCACAUGACCGGACACCGGAUUUCACCAACAAGGCCUACGUCAAGUUGAGACCUUUUUGGGAUGAGUUUGUAGAGUUUAAGAACUCAGAUGAGGGUCAGGCACGGAUGAUCAAGAAUCAGGAAAAUGCUAAACAAAAACAAUACCACCAUCACUUGGGUUCAGGUGGCUACAAGACUGUUAUUCCUAAGUGGCAAAAGCUAUAAUAGGAGAUUCUUGACAGGGGGAUCGAACCAGAAUCACUGCACUGGCCUGAGUGCGCCAAGUAUUGGUUCUUCAGUCACGGGGGAACCGUGGACCUAGAGACCGGAAAGGUACUACCGUGGACCUAGAGACCGGAAAGGUAGUGUAUGGCGAAAUGCUCCAGAGAGUGGGACAGAGAAUGACCUAUGCCCGAGGAUUAGUUGAAAGUGGCACCUCGCAGCCAAAUAGGGAGAAGGAUGAGCUAACAUACGCCCUGGAGACUGCUGAACACGGUGAGCGAACAAGAGGCUAUGGGGAGGUAUCGUGGGAGCAUGGCUUCCCUAAAGAUAGACCGACUUAUAGAAGCUGCCAAAGAAAGAAGGAAGAGGAAGCAGAGCGGUUGCGUAGGUUGGAGGCAAUGGCGAUGGAGUCACACGAAGUGGCUCGUGAAGCGAUAGCGCGAGAGAAAGCGCUUGAAGAGAGAAUGAACGAGGAGAUCAAAAGGCAAGUGCAGAUGAUAGUAAGUUCUAUACAAAGGCAAACUGCGUCAGAGCCUGGAGUCAACAUUAGCCCCUAGUCAGUUGAAAAGCAGUUGCGCUUCCACGAAGAUGACAACUAUUCAAAACGACAUGGGGCUGCACUUUAUGGUGGAUGACAUCACUGAACCUCUAACAACAUGUGAGCUGCACAUUCCACAGGGGACUGCCACAGUCAUGGUUGCUAUCAGUGUUAUAACUCCUAUCGACCCUAUGAAGACACCAAGAAUCCAUGGGGCGGUAGUUGCAACUGUAUAUGCUAGUGUCUCGGUGGAUAGAGUUGUCAAAGGCUUCAGUAAUGUGCAGCUUGAGAUAGAAGGAGGUGAUGGAGAGAAGACUCUAGGAGAAGCAGAGAAGACUUUCAUGGUGCAAGCACUACAUCAUUAUUCCUAGGGCAUCACCUAGUAGUCUACCACCACCUCCUCGUCAUGAACCUAAUCCUAGGUGUGGAUGAAAAUUGACGAUACAUUUGUUGACUAACUUUAUUUUGCAUUCUCUUAGUUAGCGGUUUACUCAUAUACCUCUUUGAUUUCACAGGUGGUCACCAACUUUAUUUUGCAUUAUCUUAGUGUUGCUGGUGAUGAUGAGGGAGUGCAAGACAAGGCUGCAUCGCCUCGGUCUCCAACGCUACCACCUCGGGCUCCAACGCCACCACCUCGGGAUCCAACACCGCCACCUCGGGCUACAACGCCACCACCUCGGGCUCCAACACCACCACCUCGGGCUCUAACGCCGCCUCCUCGGGCUCUAACCCCCCCACUAGCCGCCCCAUUGCCUCCACACGUGGCUCCAAUGCGAAAAUGGUGGACCCACCCUUAAAGAAGAGGCCAGCCACACAAUCAAAUGUGUCAGCCGCCCCGCCGCGACAAAAGAAAGCCUCCGAAAAGAAACAACCUAUCAUUCCUAAGAAGUUGUCCUAUGAGAAGACUGAUGUAGAACUAGAUGCUUUGGUAAAGUCAGAUGUGGAUAGUUUCUUCAAGAAACUUAAGGCUGAAUGUGAAUCCAAGAGAAACCCUAAGAAGCCAUACCUCUUACUACGACCAGAAGAUACGGCAAAGGGUUGAGGCUAAAAAAAAAGAGGCGUGAAGCUCAGAAAGAAUCAUCAUCUUUAUCGACUAUGAUCACACUCUAAGGAAAUCCAUAGAAGAAGAGAAGAAGAAAGAGAAAAGAGCACGUAAGGGUGUAGCACAGCUCGGGGAACAAUCAAAGCAAUUAGUGCUCCGCUAGUAAUUGGAAAUGAAAUGGUUCAAACAUCAACGUGCUAGACCAGCAGAUACCGGCAGAUUUAAAAUUUGAUGAGCUUGAUUUUUUUUUUGCAGAAAUUGAUCUUAGCUUAGCCCAAAUGAUAGUUGAGGCAUCAAUUUAAAGUGCUCCAGAAAUUGAUCAUUGGCAGAAGGAAUAUGCAUAUGGCAAGAGUCUAUACAACCCUACGGUCCUUAGCAAACUUGGAACGCAAAUGUACAUGCUAAACAAAUGGUACAUCACAGUGUGUGGAAGAAAAGCAGAUGACUAUAUUUGCGUCCGAAUUAGAAAUUAUCAUUACUUCCGUGGUGAUGAUAUUAUUUAUAUUCAAUUUAAUGAACUAUACCAACUAUGCCACAUGGACGCUCUUGAAAAAUCCCUAAUCAGUUGCUUCUAUUUGUAAGUGAUUCUUUCUUUCAAUAAUGUCACUGUAACUUAUCAUGUAUAUGUAUAACUAAUUACAGAAACCUGCUAUACAUAUGCAGAAACAUGAUGAGGGACCUCAGAGUUAGAAAUGACAAGGAGAUUGAAUUUGUGGAUCCAUAUGUUGUAUU